rnacentral:tRNA from 1 species
GUAUGUAGCUCAGUGGUUGAGCACUAGCCUAGCAUAGAUAAGUAACUGGGUUCAAUUCCCAGCACUGCA